AGCUCUUUGGGAUACACAGCUUUGUUCAGCUCUGCCAGGCUUUUCAAGCAAUAUGUGAAUAUAAGGAUGCGCUCCUGGUGCAUCCCCAGAGCAGCCACUGUAAGAGGAGCUAACACAUAACUAGACAGGCACAGGAAUCAAGGCCCUAAUCUGCUCAAGAAAGGUAGUAGAGGGAUUUCCUGUGAGUUUCACAGUGCAACCUUUUCAAACAGCGAGCUUCCAAUAUGCCUGAAUCAGAAACAAGAGCAUCAAUGGAGAACAUGAAGGACUCAGGAGAGAAGAGUCAUCAUGGAUAUGCAGAUAGAGAGUUAAUGAUUAUGAAAUUUCCUUGAACAAUUUCACUGGAGCAGAUAAGUGCCACAGAAAAACAGGAUGCGGAAAUUAGAUUAGAAACUGAAUAAAAUGCAAAAAAACCCUUGUUUGUAGAAGCUACACAAAACUGGUUGCUGCAAGGAGUUCUGAUUAAUGAUUAACUAUUAUUUCAAAAACAGCACUAUAAUAAAGUGCAACAGCUUCAAACUGAGAAUAAUUUUAAAAAGAAAUCAAAGGUCCUCUUGUGGCUUCUACAGAAACUUGCUGGAUUUGAACUAAAAAUAAAUGACUUGACUUUUCUUCUCUGCCAUUAAAGCCUGAAUGAUAAUGCUUUGACAUUUUUAAAGGCUCAAGACUAUGUUUGCCAAUCAGACUGUAAGAAGACAUGAGUUCAAGUUACUAAGAAAAUUAUUUGGCUUUCCAAAACUCCCUUUCUCUGACUGCCAUGUAUCCAUUGCUGUGAAAUAUAUCCUUAGUUUGUGCCACAACACCCAAGGACUUACACUAGCCACCUUUAUAUCAGGAGCCCCCCUAGGAAUAAGAGAGCUGGAAAAUAUCCCUGAAAACAUCCCCUUAUUUUAGAGAAUUAAUAUCAAGGAGUAAAACCAUGGGGAUGUGCAGAACCA